AUUUGACAAAGCAUGAGCUAAUGAAACAUCCUUUCAAACACCAGACAAAUCCUCUCCUAAAAGCAAUUUUUUGCAACUUUUCCUUCACCGUAUCUAAAUCUGAAACUGCAACUCAAUUAUCACCCAAUUUAAUCAAUCAAUCCAAAAAAAAAUUGCAGGUUUAGGGCACAACAAAAUCAUUAAAUCAUGAAAUCAGAAUAAAACUCUGUAAAAAGCGGCUAUUAUCGUAUUACCUAAAAAUUUGUUGUCAUUGUUUGUGGUGCCUUCAUCACCUGCUCCGGGAUUCAUAUUUUGUUCAUCCUCAGUGAACGGAACCAUUUUAAAAAUUCAAGUAGUGAGGUUCAUACAAUAAAGAUGAAUACAAACAGGCUAACAAAUCUUUUACUUUUUUCCUGUGUAAAUUCGAUUAAAAAUAAGGAUUUGGGAAUGAUCCUCCAAUAAAGAAUAGGAUUCUGAAGAGACAACAAUGGAGAUGGCAUAUUAUGAACUCACCUUUUCUUGAAAAAUCAUUGGGGAUAAAUUUAACGUCACGAUGGAAAGGGUUAGAGAGAGAGAGAGGGUGUGGGUUUUUGAGGAAGGAGACGGGCAACGAUGAUAGAUGAGUAUACACACAACUCGAGGUAUGGGGUUCAGAAAAUUGAUCAAUGGAUUAAAAUCAAACUCGUUAGAAUAUUUACCUCCUGGUUUGAGAAAGAUUUCUUUUAAACCUUUUGAAACUAUUAUUUGUGAAAUAGAUUCCUCUUGCUUCUUGAUCAAUUGCUCAAUACACAUGUGUUCGUCAGUUGUAUACAGAUAAAUGCAGAGAAGGUCGAAGGCAGCCACAAACAAAUACAUAUAAAAUUAGACUUAGAGCUCAUAAAAGUGAUUUGCUCGUUCUUCCAAUGUUUCAACAAAAAAACAUAAAAACCCACAAAUCAAGAAAUCCAAAUGGUUAAACAAAAGAUAGGGCCAAUAAUCAUUAUGUUCUUACCUACAUUUGGGCGGAUAAACAGAGAGGGUCGAGAACUGUAAUUGAGAAAUGAUCAUAACUUUGUGGAUCAGAGAGUUGAAGAAAAAUGUUGAAAAAUAGCAAUGCACCUCAUA
rnacentral:lncRNA from 1 species